GAGGUAGUGGCUCAGCGGUAGAGCACUUACCUAGCAUGUCCGAGGCCCUGGGUUUGAUCCUCAGCACCACA
rnacentral:tRNA from 1 species